rnacentral:rRNA from 1 species
AUUGAACGCUGGCGGCAGGCCUAACACAUGCAAGUCGAACGAGUGGCGGACGGGUUAGUAAUGUCUGGGAAACUGCCUGAUGGAUGGGGAUAAGUACUGGUUACGUUCGCUAAUUCCGCCUACUCUCGGAUCUGCCCAGAUGGGAUUGGCUAGUAGGUGGGGUAAAGGCUCACCUAGGAGACGAUCCCUAGCUGGUCUGAGAGGAUGACCAGCCAAACUGGAACUGAGAAAAGGUCCAGACGCCUACGGUAGGGAGCAGGGGGGAAUAUUGCACAAUGGGCGAAAGCCUGAUGCAGCCAUGCCGCGUGUGGGAAGAAGGCCUUCGGGUUUUAAAGUACUUUCAGUGUGGCGGCGUUACCCUCAGAAGAAGCACCGGCUAACUCCGUGCCAGCCGCCGCGGUAAUUC